CCUACGGGAGGCAGCAGUGGGGAAUAUUGCGCAAUGGGCGCAAGCCUGACCCAGCAACGCCGCGUGAAGGAAGAAGGCCCUCGGGUUGUAAACUUCUUUUAUCAGGGACGAAACAAAUGACGGUACCUGAUGAAUAAGCCACGGCUAACUACGUGCCAGCCGCCGCGGUAAUACGUAGGGGGCAAGCGUUAUCCGGAUUUACUGGGUGGAAAGGGCGUGUAGGCGGGAGAGCAAGUCAGACGUGAAAUUCUAGGGCUCAACCCUGGAACUGCGUUUGAAACUGUGCUUCGUGAGUGUUGGAGAGGCAGGCGGAAUUCCGUGUGUAGCGGUGAAAUGCGUAGAUAUGACGAAGAACCCCGAUUGCGAAGGCAGCUUGCUGGAGCGGAACUGACGCUGAUGCUCGAAAGCGCGGGUAUCGAACAGGAUUAGAUACCCGGGUAGUC
rnacentral:rRNA from 1 species